GACGAACCGUGCGAACGUUGUUCGGCAUCACUGGGCUUACCGGGCGCGUAGGCGGGUCUGCAAGUCCGGGGUGAAAGCCCCCAGCUCAACUGGGGAAGUGCCUUGGAAACUGCGGGUCUCGAGGGAGGUAGGGGCAUGUGGAACUUCGGGUGGAGCGGUGAAAUGCGUUGAUAUCCGAAGGAACGCCGGUGGCGAAAGCGACGUGCUGGAUCUCUUCUGACGCUGAGGCGCGAAAGCUAGGGGAGCGAACGGG
rnacentral:rRNA from 1 species